AGGACCCCAAGGCCCCAGGCCCAACAUUAGGAAAACUAACCCCUGUGCCCUGAAGCUGCAAGAUGUUCCCUUACCCAACCCCCAUGUCAAAACCCCACCAGCUGCACGUAGCACUUCAAGUCUCGCACAAUGUUACCACAAGAUGUUCCAUAUAGAUAACCCCGGAAGGGCCAAACUUGAGCAAACAGGGUAAAAACAGGAACUAAAAGGACAGGAUGCAAUUUUAUGGUUUUUCUGAGAACUAAAGUGGGAAAACAAGUUUACCCCCCUAGGUGACUCAACUGCUGAAUUCAGAGGGACCAAUAGGAAGGCUGUUGCUGUGCUAAGCUAAGACCUAACCCACCUGUUCCCUAUAAAAGAUCUAUACCCCAAAGCCCGGUGUGCCAGUUCACCGAAGCUCCGGCUGAGGUUUUGCUGUGCACCCGCAGGCGCCUGUGUGAGAAUAAACGCCUCCUGCUUUUUGCAGCCAGUGUCUCGUGUGGUUCAUUCCGGGUUUGGGAUCUGUGGAUAUUUCAUUGUGGAGGUCCCACCGAGAUCCAAGAUCCCGGUUCCGGUUCCGAUCCCGGUCCCUAUCCGGAGGACACCCGACAUCACUGGGAGACUCAUUUGCAUGCUUUGCAAUUGGUCCAGAACGAGGUCUGGAAGCCUCUAGCCGCAGCAUACAAAGAGGAACUUAAAACCCCCUUGCUGCCACAUCCCUUCAAGGUCGGAGAUACCGUCUGGGUACGCAGGCACCAGAGCAGGAACCUCGAACCGCAGUGGAAAGGACCCUACACUAUCCUGCUGACCACUCCUACUUCACUCAAAGUGGACGGCAUCGCUGCUUAGAUCCAUGCUUCCCACGUGAAGACUGCACAUCCACAGGAGUCCGCAGACACCUCUCCGGAUCCAGAAUGGAAGUUGCAACGUACCCAAAAUCCGCUAAAAAUAAGACUCACUCGCUGUUGAUUUUUCUUGCUUUGUGCUGUGUCUUCCCCAUAUCAGUUAACCCCAACCAAUCUGUGAGCCAGACAUGACAAGUAUUAUCGGGGACAAGAAAUAUAAUUAAAAAAAAAAAAAAAAAAAAAACAACAUCCGCAAAAUACCCCCUUUGGGCUUGAUGGCCUACCCUAGGGCCUGAAAACUAAGUCGCAGGCACAAAAAUGUGGGCAACAUGAAAGUUACUAUUGUAAGUCUUGGGGAUAUAAAACUACGGGGGAUGCAUAGUAGAAGCCAAGCUCAUCUUAGGAUUUAAUUCAAAUAAAAAAAAAACAAAACAAAACAGGAUCCCCCACUUUCUGCCGACUCUUGCAGGAGCCUGAAAUGGUACGGGGCAGGGCCAUGUACCGCAUUUGCCUGCAACCCCUUAAACAUUACCUUUACUCAGGCAGGCAAAGCAUCAAAAGAUUGGAUAAAAGAAAAACAAUGGGGCCUGAAAAUAUAUCAUAAAACUGCCUAUGACCCUGGGGUCCUAUUCAAAAUUAGAUUAAUAGUAAAUACCAACCCCCAACCAGUAUGCUGAGCCGUCAGCUGAAAUAAUGCUGGAAUCCGAGCAGAUGGGUCAAUGGAUAUAAGAUUAUAUCCAUGAUAUAAAAAAAGGGGGGAAUGAAGGACCCCAAGGCCCCAGGCCCAACAUUAGGAAAACUAACCCCUGUGCCCUGAAGCUGCAAGAUGUUCCCUUACCCAACCCCCAUGUCAAAACCCCACCAGCUGCACGUAGCACUUCAAGUCUCGCACAAUGUUACCACAAGAUGUUCCAUAUAGAUAACCCCGGAAGGGCCAAACUUGAGCAAACAGGGUAAAAACAGGAACUAAAAGGACAGGAUGCAAUUUUAUGGUUUUUCUGAGAACUAAAGUGGGAAAACAAGUUUACCCCCCUAGGUGACUCAACUGCUGAAUUCAGAGGGACCAAUAGGAAGGCUGUUGCUGUGCUAAGCUAAGACCUAACCCACCUGUUCCCUAUAAAAGAUCUAUACCCCAAAGCCCGGUGUGCCAGUUCACCGAAGCUCCGGCUGAGGUUUUGCUGUGCACCCGCAGGCGCCUGUGUGAGAAUAAACGCCUCCUGCUUUUUGCA